rnacentral:rRNA from 1 species
AUGACGAGGCGGUGCUCGCACUGCAGCAACAACGGCCACAACGCGCGGACCUGCCCCGCCCGCUCCGGCGGCGGCGUGAGGCUCUUCGGCGUGCACCUCACGUCGCCGCCGGUGGCCGCGAUGAAGAAGAGCGCGAGCAUGAGCUGCAUCGCGUCGUCGCUCGGCGGCGGCGGGUCCGGGGGCUCGUCGCCGGCCGCGGGGCCGGGGGGCGGCGAGGGCGCGCCGGGGUACGUCUCCGACGACCCCAUGCACGCCUCCUGCUCGACCAAUGGCCGGGCCGAGCGCAAGAAAGGUACACCUUGGACUGAAGAAGAGCAUAGGUUGUUUCUACUGGGUCUGCAGAAGCUUGGCAAAGGAGACUGGCGUGGGAUAUCUCGUAGUUUUGUUGUCUCAAGGACCCCAACUCAGGUGGCCAGCCACGCCCAGAAGUACUUCAUUAGACAGACAAACUUCUCAAGACGGAAGAGGAGGUCAAGCUUGUUUGACAUGGUCCCGGAAAUGCCAAUGGAUGAGUCCCCUGAUGGCGCGGAAGAGUUUACGCUCUGCACCACUCAAGAUGAAACAACAAGUUCAAAUAAACUUUCGCUGUUUCAUCUCGGGCGACAGAAGGAAGCAGAGUGUGAUAAAGAUCUGCCAACUUUGCAACUAAGGCAGCACGAGGAAUCUGAAUAUGCAGGGCCUUCAUUAGAAGCACCAGAUUUGGAGAUGAACAAUGGUGUAUCAUUCAAGGCCGCAUCUGUCUCGACAGUUCCAGCGUUCUACCCUGCAUUGCUCCCUGUUCCACUAACACUUUGGCCUGCGAACGUUUCUAAUGUGGAAGCAGCAAACGCAACCCAUGAAGUCCUAAAGCCCACUCCUGUAAAUUUAAAGGAGGCAAUUAAGGCGGAUGAGGUUGUCAGUAUGUCCAAGCUCAGCAUUGGUGGGGGUACCUCUGGCUCAAUGGAACCUUCUGCUCUUUCCCUUCAGCUUACCGGGCCGACAAAUACAAGACAAUCAGCUUUUCAUGUGAGCCCACCAAUGACUAGAACUGACCUUAGUCAGGGAAACAACAGCCCAAUCCAUGCAGUUUGA